rnacentral:tRNA from 1 species
UCCCUGGUGGCUCAGAGGUUAAAGCGUCUGCCUGCAAUGUAGGAGACCUGGGUUCGAUCCCUGGGUCUGGAA